rnacentral:rRNA from 1 species
AUUGAACGCUUGCGGCAUGCCUUACACAUGCAAGUCGAACGGUAACAGGUUAAGCUGACGAGUGGCGAACGGGUGAGUAAUGUAUCGGAACGUGCCCAGUCGUGGGGGAUAACUACUCGAAAGAGUGGCUAAUACCGCAUACGACCUGAGGGUGAAAGCGGGGGACCGUAAGGCCUCGCGCGAUUGGAGCGGCCGAUAUCAGAUUAGCUAGUUGGUGGGGUAAAAGCCCACCAAGGCGACGAUCUGUAGCUGGUCUGAGAGGACGACCAGCCACACUGGGACUGAGACACGGACCAGACUCCUACGGGAGGCAGCAGUGGGGAAUUUUGGACAAUGGACGCAAGUCUGAGCCAGCCAUGCCGCGUGCGGGAAGAAGGCCUUCGGGUUGUAAACCGCUUUUGUCAGGGAAGAAACGAGUUUCUCUAAUACAGAGACUUAAUGACGGUACCUGAAGAAUAAGCACCGGCUAACUACGUGCCAGCCGCCGCCGUAACAC